rnacentral:rRNA from 1 species
CAGAGGGUGCAAGCGUUGUUCGGAAUUAUUGGGCGUAAAGCGCGUGUAGGCGGCUAUGCAAGUCGGGUGUGAAAGCCCUGGGCUCAACUCAGGAAGCGCGCCCGAAACUGCAUUGCUUGAGUACCGGAGAGGGUCGCGGAAUUCCCCAAGUAGAGGUGAAAUUCGUAGAUAUGGGGAGGAACACCGGUGGCGAAGGCGGCGACCUGGACGGAUACUGACGCUGAGACGCGAAAGCGUGGGUAGCAAACAGGAUUAGAUACCCUGGUAGUCCACGCUGUAAACGAUGAGAACUAGGUGUCGUGGGUGUUGACCCCCGCGGUGCCGUAGCUAACGCAUUAAGUUCUCCGCCUGGGAAGUACGGUCGCAAGACUA